rnacentral:rRNA from 1 species
AACGAACGCUGGCGGCAUGCCUAACACAUGCAAGUCGAACGAGACCUUCGGGUCUAGUGGCGCACGGGUGCGUAACGCGUGGGAACCUGCCCUUAGGUUCGGAAUAACUCCCCGAAAGGGGUGCUAAUAACGGAGAAUGUCUUCGGACCAAAGAUUUAUCGCCUUUGGAUGGGCCCGCGUUGGAUUAGCUAGUUGGUAGGGUAAAAGCCUACCAAGGCGACGAUCCAUAGCUGGUCUGAGAGGAUGAUCAGCCACACUGGGACUGAGACACGGCCCAGACUCCUACGGGAGGCAGCAGUGGGGAAUAUUGGACAAUGGGCGAAAGCCUGAUCCAGCAAUGCCGCGUGAGUGAUGAAGGCCUUAGGGUUGUAAAGCUCUUUUACCCGGGAUGAUAAUGACAGUACCGGGAGAAUAAGCUCCGGCUAACUCCGUG